rnacentral:rRNA from 1 species
UACGUAGGGUGCAAGCGUUAAUCGGAAUUACUGGGCGUAAAGCGUGCGCAGGCGGCUUUGUAAGUCUGUCGUGAAAUCCCCGGGCUUAACCUGGGAAUGGCGAUGGAGACUGCAAGGCUAGAGUUUGGCAGAGGGGGGUAGAAUUCCACGUGUAGCAGUGAAAUGCGUAGAGAUGUGGAGGAACACCGAUGGCGAAGGCAGCCCCCUGGGUCAAGACUGACGCUCAUGCACGAAAGCGUGGGGAGCAAACAGG